ACCGUUAAUAAUGAUAGCUAACUAAAAUUAUCAAAAAAAAUAUGUUAUCGAAAUUCACAUUGAUCAAAUUUCAUAAUAAUUUUAAUUACCACUUACAACUGAUUGCAUGAAUACUCAUGUUCUUCUUUAAUCUUAAGUCACCCGAGCGGAAUGUAUAAAUAUCUAUUCCACGUUUUCAUAAUUUGUAAACAGUGCAACAUAACCUUAUACCCUUCUGUUGUCGGUUAAUCUAUGUAUAGCUCGGGCCCGCACUUCAGUGCACAGCGGAACGCGCUCGUUCGCGGACGUUAAGGCGUUGCCACCCGCCGCCGCCCGAUCGAUACAAACGCUCUACACAUAGACAAAAAAGCCUAGGGCUAUCAAACCUUGUGCCUAAAAUUUUAGAGCCUUUUGCGUGACACUUUCAAAAUAACUUAGUGCAACGAUAAAACAUGUGCCUCAAAAAAUGUGAUGUGAUUAAUUAAAUGUAAUGAUGAUGUGCCGAUGAUGUGAUAGUGAUAAAUUUAUAGUACUGUGAUAUAUUAGUGAUUAGUAGCUCAUUAUGCUGCGAGCCCUGACAUCUAGGAGAUGGUCUCUGAGACGGGACAGCGAAAGG